GGGAGUUCAUGAGUGAUGAAGGGAAAUAUAUAUAUACUAGUAUUUAAGCCCGCGCUGCUGGGCCUCUGCAUAUUUUAAAUUGCCUGAAAAAAUAAACUAUUAUCUCAUACCUGGAUGAUUCUUAAAUAUAGAAAGGAAAUGAAAAUAAGCUUUAACAUUAUCCAUUUCAAACAUGAUUUUGUGAAAGGAGCAAAUCAGAUUACGGAUAUGGAAACAGAGUUCAUAAUACAAAGUUAUAAAAACCUAAGGCAACCUUAGUAUACAGAGUUGAAAAGAGUUCUUGGUACCCAACCAAAUGCAAAUAUAGAAUUGAAAAGUACAAAGUUCCCAAAUAUUAUUACAAAACCAUACAUUACAACAAAUCAACAACAUGAUGGAAUAAUAGGAGUAGCAUGAUGGUGGUAGUAUGGUCCUCUCGUUGCAUUCUUCUCUUUGCGAACAUCAGUGGAGACGCCAAUUUGCCAAUCUGUAGCAUCCAAUCGAUUGAAAAUGUGACAAUCUUUACCAUUCAUUUCACUGACAUAAGUGCGUACAUUACAUAAGUGCGUACCUGAAUGCAUCUCUCAGAUCUUGCACUGCUUCAUGAUUAAGAUUUAUGAAAAACCUUGUUGGUGGAUAGUUUGUCAGCUUCUCCUCACCUAAAACAUAAAAGCAACAAUGUUUUACGAAGAUAUUAAAAAACAGGACUGCAAUAUUUUCAGGACUACCUUGGAUGAGUGUUGCUUUAACACUGGCGAUGAUAACUAUAACCGGAUGUUGGCCAGCAUUAUGGACUUCCUGAUCAAAAGAUUGUGCCAUUUCGUCGUAGAAUAUCACUUCUGCAGAAGUGCUGUUAAGAGAUUGGAAAAAAAGUCAAUUGUUGAAAAUGCAGCACUUGUAUGAGAGCUUACAUUUUAAAAAAUUAGCACAAACUGCAUAUCAUUGAUGGUAAGCUGAAUGCUGUUUUUCAGCUCAUUAUAUUUGUUCCUGUAGGUACGGAUUGGUUGCACUUGCUGUACAAUGCCAACAACAUCUACAUAAGAAAAUAGGCAGUUAGAAAAAAAAUUACUAGCUUUAUGGAACUUUUAUACAAUUAUAUUAUUACUGACCGAUUAGAAAGUUCCUUUCCGUUUCAACAUCCAUUAUAGCUGAUAAGUCAGUGAAGUGAAACACAUGACGCUGUAUGUAAUCCACACCUUCAGCCGCGAAGAGGUCAGUCAGAUGAUACAAUUGGAUGAAGACAUCAUUUUGAAAGCAUCUGUAAGUUUGCAUGGAACCAUAUUGCCUGACAACAAAGUUAUGGACAUUAUAGGUUUGUCCUUCCGUAAUCAAAUUCUGAAAUUGAUUCAUGUUUGCUGCAGCAAUCCAUGCAUGAAUGCGGCCUCCCUGGUAGAGUACAACUACCAUUAGUAAUCUAAUAAGCCUUGAGGUAGAAUAAUUGUUAGGUAAAAAUACAGUUUUACUUACCAGUUCAUCGACGAAAAUUAAGUUUAUACCUACUGUAUUUCCCUGGCGGUCAAUAGCUUGCCAAACCCUCGUCACUCGGACUUUAAGCCUCCAUGCAGUUGUUGUUUGAGGGCGCAAGUUUGAUAUCAUUUGGUAUGGGAUCUCAUCCAUGUUUGUGUUAAUUGUUUCCUUCAAGCAGUCCAUGAUUUAUAUUCCCUGGUGAGUGCACUUCUUUGAAUGUUUGAGUGCUCGUCACUGUACUUUCCUUGGCUGGUAGCUAUGAUUGAAAGGAAUCUUGUGACUUUAACUCAGAAUUCCUGUGCAUGUAUGCAGUCUGGUCUGAGUGCCCUGCAAAGCCUAUGCUACAAAGUGUGCUUUUUCUCUGCCACCUGCAAAGUUAUAUAAAAUUUUGGCAUAUCUAUUUGGAAUUUCCCUAAGUCGAAUGUGCAACCUAUAAGUUCAAAUGUUUUUUCAUACUAACAUGAUCCCAACAGUAAAUAGUCUAUGGCAUUAGGGCAAAAAUACAGGGAUGUUAAUGAACUGAAUACAUUAGGGCAAAAAUGUAGAGCAGCAACAGACAGCUUGGUUCAUUUGGUAAACUGAACCCUACUCGCAGUGAACUAUUCAAAGAUUUGUUAUAAUAAAAUUAAGAGUAAUAUGAUGAUUUAAAUUUGAACAGUACCUCAUCAGCUAAAUUAGGAGUUCUACUCCCUGUGAUAGUACGAACUUCCCCGUCUCUUAAGACAACUUGCAUCUGGCCAGAAAUACCCUCAGCAACAACACAAAGUGUCAACCUGGACGAUAUAAGUAUAUACAUUGCAGCAUUACACAUGUAUUUCUUUAAAUGAGAAAUUAUACAGGAAACAAAGGUCUGUCAACAGAAUUACAAACAAUAUUGUCUUAAAGGAUGCAUAAACAUAUAAAUACGGAAUAGAUACAAAGUCAGAUCAUUCGGUUACACAAAAUGAAACAAAGUACUUUGCUGAUAAUUACAAACAAAAUUACAGCAAAUUCAAGUUAUCUGAUACUUUCAUCGUGCGACAAAGCAAAAGCAAGUAAUAAAGCGGUCCUUAAUUAUCCACGUUGGAGCUUAAGUUGAUAGCUGGGAUUCCUUCAGUGUUACAUGUUGUGGUGGUUGCCUGAUUCGAAUAAAAUUGUCAUUUACCAUAGGAAAUAAAAGCAAGGAAAAUUUUUUUGAUGUGUAAUUCAGCCUUAUUAUAUAUUAGAACCUGUGAGGUUUCUCCAUCAGUCAUUGUGUGUGCGUGCAUUUUUGGCUUUGGAAUGCUAACAAAACCCCUGCAAAUGUUCGUAGCCCAAUAAACUUUGAAAUCCUUCUCAACAUUCAUUUCCCUUAUUUUAACAAUAAGGCUGUAGUCUUUUUCAACAAUGUUGAAGAGAAGUUUCGGAAUCUGUUGCCAAUUGGAAUCCUGUGCAGUAUUUGCUCCGUUAGAAAAUAUUGUAAUGCAAAAUGAUUAUCCUAUUAUUGAUGCAUACCUGUGCAAACAGUUCACGUGCUCUAAAACCAAUUACUGUACGUACUUCUCUAUCUCCAAGCACAACCUGCAUCUGUCCAGAAUGGUCUUUUGCAAAAACAUGAACUCUGAACCUAGAUAUUAGUAGAAGCAUAUGUCAUAUAAUUUGUUUUGGCAGUUCUAGUAUUUGUAAAAAGUACGGAUCUACGAACUUCUUAUCUGGAUAAGGCACAAAUCUGUUGCAGCUUUCAUAUACUGGACAUGGAUUCUCCAUUUUGGUCUCUCUUCCACAAUCUGUGCAAGCAUCGUAACCCCAGUUCAUAUUCUCAUCAAAUCCUACUAUUUUGACGUGUGAAAAAACGGAGGCCUGCAUAUGUGUUCAUGAAUAUAAAAAUUGGAAACAUGUUAAUUAACUGAAUACAUAAUGGACAACAGGAAAUUUUACUUCGAUAUACUCUUUUCCGAGGGUGAAGAUACUUUCAAUACUAUGCUGCUCCACUGGCUUUUUUAUUUCAGUUCCAAGAGCAUUUUUUGCAAAAUCAGCAUUUGCCAACCUAUGUAUGAUUUGAUGAAAAAGUAAUUUAGUACCAAGUUAUGAUGUUUAAGUGACUCAGUCCAAGUUUUUUUUUAGACUCACAAUUUCCUCAGGUGCAACACACUAUGAUGCUUGUAGUUAAGGAAGAUUCUGGUUGCUGGGACAUGUGAUAUAUCAACUUCCCCUGCAAAUAGGUUCUUGGAGUUAGAUGUAGUUUGAUUUUGAUAAUAUUAUAAGCCUGAGUAAUAAAACAUACCAUUCCACUUUCCAACCUUACAUGCGGAAAGGAUAAUAAUCACUGGUUUUUCCAAGUUUUUGUUCAUUGCUUGCUCAAAUCUUUCGCCAAACUUAUCCCAGAAUGUAACAUUGACAUUAGACCUAAAAAAAAAUAUUGAAGUAAGCAUUCAUGUUUAUUUGUUUAAAGGAAAGCUGGUGAUAUAGUUUAUAGAAAAAACCUCCCAUCUGUGAUAAUUAAUUUUGCCUGUCGUUGGUCUUGACCAUGUCUGUUCUUUAUGUCUCUAAGGUGCUGAUGUUUUUUGAUGAUUCCUACCAAAUCUAGUGAGGAAUAAAUGAAUUAUUGGCCAAGCAAAUACAGAGUAUAAAAUGUACAUGUUUAAUCCUAUGAAAUACCUGUUAGGUAUGUUGUUUGUUUUGAAAGUUCCUCCAGUUGGCUAUGGUCGUAGAAAUCAAAAGCUUCCUGACCUAUUGACAAACCAUCAUCAUCCACCUCUUGUAUGUUAGUUUCCAUGCUGAAGACCAACUGCCUAUCAUUUCUCAAUAACCUGAACUUCUCACUUGCGCUAUACAACUGAACUGCAAAGUUCUUAAUGACAUAGGUUUUUCCUACUGUAAUCUUGUCUUCAAUUUCAUCAGCACAUUUUGUUGGGACAAAAGCAUGAAGCCUUUUGCUCUACAUGUAAAAAAAUGCAUGUAAGGUCUUCUCAUAAUAUCUGCUAAAAAAAGUUAUAAGAAGGAAUUGUGAUCACCUUGUCGUCCAUUAGAAUUAGGUUUAAAUUUUUGAACUCAACUCCAGCACGCGUGGCACCUCUCCAAAGUCUGAUAACUCUUACCUUGAUUCUUUGUUGACAAUCACCCAGCUGAAGUUUUAGAAGGGAAGUAUACUCUGCUGUGGACAUUUUUGUUAGUUCUGUAUAGAAAUAUUACUGAUAGAGAACAUUUUUAUAUUUAGAUGCUUAGUAGACCUGCAGUUAACUCUCUCACCUAACACUUACAGCAUUGAAUCAAGAAAGCCAGUACAUUACAUAUAAAUAAAACGUUUAAUGAUUACAGUACAUAAGUUGAAAAGAUACGCAAACAGUGGUUCAUAGUAACAAACAUUAAUACAGACCGAUGAACCCGGAAGUUCUAACCAAAGCAACGAAUUACAAUACUUCCACCAACAAAAAAGCUGAACAUUGUCUACAUGUCUGUAGUCCAAAAGUUAACGACUCUGAUUUCAUUCUCAAGGCUGGCAAAAAAAAUAAAAAAGUUUGUCAAAAUAUGUUUUACAAUUAAUAGUUUCCCAUUACCUUUUCCAGUUUGAUAAUUUUUGGAGGUUUAGCUAUUGUGGUAUCUGCUGCAUUAAAGGUCACCACUUCUGUAAUUUUUCUUGCUCUGAACUUGGUGUUUGUAGAAUUCUCGGUGUUUGGUGUAUGAUUGAGGUUCGAAUCUCCUUCCGUGGCCUAUUAUAUGUAAAACACACAUUUUUCAAAGAAAAGGACAAACUGAAAUAAUACAGGAAAAAAUUUGGCCAUACAUUGAUCAUCGACAACUCUUCAAUUUCAUCCGCAACGGCAACAUUAGGAUCGAAGUUGUCAGCUUUUUCCUGGGCCUGCUUUAUUUCUUUUGCUUCGAAAACUGUAGAACCGUUUUUUAUGUUCUCCUCGCCCAUAUAAAGCUGUAUGGUAUACUUCGCUUUGACAAUUGAAUUCAGAAUGUUGGGGAAUUUUUCUUCCUCAGCUUCCUGUAUAGUCAAUAUUUUAAAAAGAUAUUUUCCUUCUGAAAAUAUGUCAAUUUAAUAGUUAGAGAGAAUAGAGUGUAACAUACAUCAGCACACUCCGCAUGCAGGUCAGUGACAGUCUUGCCAAUAAGUUUGGUGAUUUCAUAGUCCGAGAAAAUAAUAGAAAUUGAUCCCGUUGAGUCAGAGCAAAGAGUGCAUAUCCUGAACCUGUAUGAGUUGAUAAAAUUUGAAAAAUGCUAUAUUUCCAAUAUCCUGUGAAUAUUUUAGUUAAAUUUUUAGGUCGUUAUGUAAUACAACCUUUUGUCUGGAUAAGGAAUGAUCCGACCACAGCCAUUAGGACGUGAACAUUUAAAUUUAUCAUUUACGCAGUCCAGUUCCAAUUCGCAUCCAGUACACUUCCUAAAGUACCAAUUUGAUUUGUCAUUAAUUCGUUUCACAGUGACUUCGCACCAUACUGGCCCCUGAUAUAAAAUGUUACAAAUGUAUAUAAGUUUUUAUCAUGUAGAGGAAGUAGUGUAGUAAAAAGAUUGAAAGAAGACCUCGACUAAUUUUCCUGGUUCACUUGUUAUCUCCUUGAUAGUGAAAAUUUUAUUUGGUGUGUCAACCUUCUGUUCCUCUGUUUCAACAUGCAUCUUUUGUGGCAACUUCGUACUCUCUGUCCAACUACGUAAAGAGUAUUUGUUAGUUAAUUUAUUUGACAAUAUAUCUCCUGCAUAAUUUGUAAUAGUAUAUAAGAUACUAACCUCUUUUUCAGCUCAUGAACACUAUAGUGUUCCGGAUUGAUAUAAACUCUUGUUGCAGGGUAAUUUGAAAGAUGUGGAACACCUUUACAUAACAUUUGUAGAAAUUGAAAAGUAGGAUAUAUGUUCUGAACUUAAAUUUAGUAAGUUAGUUUAUAUUACCCUCAUAUCGACCAACUUUUGCACAACAAAUUAUGACAAAGAUGUUGUUUAUAUCCCGUUUAAAAAACUCUUUCUCAACAUCUUCUCCAAAGGUAUCAAACAGAGUGACAGGGACGGUGGACCUGUUCACGUGGAAUUUAACAUGUUAUUAUUUAAUCCGCAAUGCAAUAAAUCACCGCUUUCCAAUCCAGAAUGCAGUGUAUACCUUCCGUUAGAGAUAUCAAACUUCAGCCUUGUCUUUUCCUCCUCAUUUUUGGUCGUCUUGAUUAAUUCCUGUAUAUUUUUUACCUUCCCAACCAUAUCUGGAUGCGAAUUGAAUAAUUAGUAAAUACAUAAUAAGCACAAACUUAAAUUUGGGGAAUAAGUAAAUGAGUACCAAUGAGGAAGCGCUCGUCAUUUGCAAGCUUCUCUAUUUCAUCAAAAUGAAACAGGUCAAAAGCAAACUUUUCAAUUUUCAGUCCCAUAGUUUCGUCUAGCUCGAAUUUUGUGUGUGGGGUGAAGAAAACAUGUUUUUUAUUCCGAACAGCACGGAAUUUUUCACUUCCCAAAUAUUCUUUGACCUUGAUAUUGGACACAAUGUAUAUUCCUCCUUCCUUAAUUUUUUUUACUACUUCAUCACAGUAUUUUGCACUUGCAAAGGCAUGUAUUCUACUAUUCUGUACAGCAAAACAGAAAAAAUAAGGAACCAUAUGCAGUCCAAAAAUUUAUACAUCGCAGUGCAAGAUCAAAUAUUAUAACCUAAACAUACCGAAUCAUCGAUUAAAACCAUAUUUAUGCCCCAAAAUUCCUUAGUCUCUCUGUUAAGACCUUUCCAGAAUGAUUGUACUCUGACUCUACACACCCAGUCAUAAGUUGUGCUGUCGAUAUUGCUUAUAGGGUCAUAGAGUUUCAUUUCCAUUAUUACUAACUGCAAGUGUAAUAAAUUCAUUCAAUUUCAUUACAGAUACUGAGAUAUUGAUGGUCUAGUAGCAUUGAAUACACACACGGAGGAUACAAAGUGUAAACUGACAGUAAGUAAGUGGAAGAUUAUACUGCGAAUACCUGAGAAUGAUACCGGAUAUGAAUGCGUCGUCAAUUUCGUGGUAGUUGGCCGCUGUAAUAAAGAACCUAGCCCUCAGAUCUGUAAUAAGAGUAAUGUUCUGUAUGUCUGCUUGUUAAAGUUUUGGAGAUGUGAGCCUUUGCUAAGAUUGAGACACACAAUCUUGUUCAAUGGUUAGGAUAAUUUUAGGUACUAUUAUAACAUAAGUGUACAUGUAAAUUUAGUUCAAGUGAUUUAAUGGGAAAUGUAAUAACAAAACUUCUCCGAAAAUCAGAAAUUAUAGUAGAAUUUUAAAUACAUACUGGAGUAAUAUUAUGAGUUUUAUGACUGUUAAAUUAGAUGAACACGCAAUUAUCUGAUAUAACUCAAUAGAUUAUUAGUCGUGACAGGUUAAUAAUAAAAUAUGAGAAAAGUAGUUCGCUAAUAAAAAUCUAAUAGUGUUGUCCUUUACAUGGUCAUGUUAAAGUUUUGGAGAUGCGAGGCAUAGCUAAGAUUGAGACACACAAAUUUGUUCAAUGGUUACGAUGGUUUUAGGUACAAUUAUCACAUAACUACUACUUCUCAUCAUCUAAAAGUUGUCACGGAAAAGAAAGUCUUCAAAAGUAAUUUGUAUUAAUCAAAUAUUAUAUAUGGAAAAUGUAAUUUGAAAAUGAAAUAAUCAAACCUAAAUGAUAAAGUAGUAAAGCUUGCGUAAAUUUAAAGUUUUCAUUUGAAUAACAGGAACGUAUUAUAUUUUUUCUGAGUUGAACAUAUUUUAUAAUUUCAUGUGAUACAUGAAAUAUACCUAAAUGAUAGGUUUAUUACAUUUUGUUAUAAUCACAAUAUGCAUACCAAAAAGAUCAACUGCAAUUAUUAUUGUUUAAAUUCUCGAUAAAUUGUGUUAUAUUUUUUAUUAUAAUGUUCGUCCACUUCAUGAGUUAGAAGUCAGAUCAUCUUCAAAAACUUGUGUUCUAUGUGUGCAUUCGUAAUAUGUUAAGACUAAUGAGUAAAUAUCAAAUUUUUAUGAGAAAUUACUUGUUUCGUAAAAAAUAUGAAAUUAGGAAAGUGUAUUUUAGUUUUAAUUGAAAUUAGGCGAUACAAAAAAAAUGAUUUAUUUUAAUCAAAGAAAUUAGAAUUAUGCAUUAUUUUACUAUGGACAUAUAGUGUUUGAGAAUAAAUUAGAAUUUUUGAAACUUCCACAACCACCUGGACAGACGUAGUUGUUCCAAUUUAAUUUUCGUUUUUAAUGUGCAUUACAAAGUAAAGAAUAGUAGUAAAGUCUGCAGUGUAGGAAACGCAUAUUUAAUUAAGAGUAGUUCUGUUUCAACUUUCAAGUCGGAGGUUUUCUGAAGUCAGAAGAACAAUCUUCUCAUCAGCAUUAAGAACCCUAACACUGUUCUCCUACAGGUAAUCUUCUUAACUAUGUGGAACUCAUUUGAUCUUGCAUGUUAAUCUGUAUGUAGAUUCUGAAAAUACUGAGUUCUAAAUUUUUCCGUUUGGUUUCUACAUAGCUUCUGUAGAAAUGAGUGAAGUCAUAGGGAAUAAGAAGUUUAUAUGUCGGGUUGUGGAAGGAAGAGAUUCAAAUGGCCAACUGGUACCACAUAUUUCUUAGCCUCAUAUAAUUUCCUGCAUUUUAGUAGCCAUGAUUUUUUCAGGGUUUAUAUUUCGUUUUUUGAUUUAUUUUACAGAAAUGUCCGUCAGAGUUUGCUUCCUUUUUUGGCUUGAUGGGAUUAAAUAAUAUUGGCUUGCAUUUACCAAACAAAAGCACAUGGUUGGGUCGAUUUGUUCGUCAUUCCGAGAGGAUUGAAGGAAUUGAGUCUCUGAUGAAAUAUUUUGAUGUGAAACCAUGUUAUUUGUUUGCCUUUGAGUAUUUUGGUGGAACUGAAUUUUUAGUGUCUAUUUAUAAUGAUUAUGCUCUUGAAGUUAACUACACCGAGAGUGUUAAAAGAGGUCCAAGUCCACAGCGAAGUUCAACAACUAUCGGGGAUGGUGUCUUUGACAUAAGUGAAAUAGACAACGAAAAACUGCAAGCAUCAUUUGCUGUUAAUGCUUGGUCAUCGUCUGACGGAAUUCAUGAUUUUGCAAUAACUCGGGAACAUUUGCAAGGAGCAGAUUAUACUCAGGUAUAACUCACUGAUACUCUAUAGUUUUAGUAAUUAGUUGUGAGUAUUUUCGGUUUUGCUGUUUUAUAUUUGAAAUUUGGAUAUCAACUACUGAGUUGUUGGCAUAGAAUUGAUAAGGUUAAUAACUAAAUAUGAUGCUCUCAUAUAAUAGAACUGUAAUUUGUACUGCACUGUGUAACUGAGCAUCAUAUCAAAGCACUUCCGAAAAAUCCUGUAUAUGCAUCCUGCUUUUGAUAUUUUUUAAAAAAAUGUGAGAAUUUUUUAGGUUCUUUCAAAAGAGGAAGCUGACGAAAUGGGUCUGAAACCCGAAGAUGAUUGGCUGGAGAUAGGCACCGAGAAGUUUAAGUGGAGAAUUCAGUUACAUUGGAGAGAUGGUGAGCUAUGGUUUGACAAAGGGUGGAAUGUAUUUGCUGAAGCUUUUAAACUUGGUGUGGGUGAUAGAUGCUUUCUUCGUAACACAACACAUGGCUUGAAAUUUAAGGUUGCAAUACAUGAGAAACACAGAAUGACAGAACUAUUAAGCAAAGGUAUUUUCUUAUCAUUUGUUCGAUUGAACAACAUCAAUUUUACAUCAUGUACACCAUAAAAGAAAUUUUGACAAUAAAUUUCUGCAAAACUUGCAAAUGGAUAGGUGGUGUGGAAGGAAAAGGAGUCGUAAAGUGGUUCAAAAUGAUGACGUGGAUGAGUGUCCACACCGGAGAGGUCGAGGUACCAUACCUGUUUGGUAAAGCAUAUGCAAGUGCUAUAACUGAUAAUGCAAAAUUGGUAUUGCCUGAUGGUUUCAGCUCUUCUUGUUAUUUCUCAAAAAACGGAGAUCUAUUAUAUGGUCUUAAAGAUUUAAUGAUUAAAUACUCUGUGCGUGAGAACUGUACAAUUUUUUUCAAUUACAUUGGAAAUUCUACAUUCUAUGUUACAAUUUACAACGAAGCUGGUAUGGGUAUUUUUAAUGAUCUGCCUGAGAAGUUAUCACUACACACUGCGAAACUUAAGAUGGGACCUGAUGUGAUUGUUUUGUCAGACAGCGAUGACAGCGAUGAUGGUAAUCAGACUUUAAAAAAUGUUAACCUAUUAGACGGUUUUUUGCCUCUGCUAAGUGGAUGUUGGUUUAUGAACUUAUGUAGAGUCCAUUGACAGUGGAGCUGAAUCAGGCAGAUCAGUGUACAACACGCCGCAUAACAGCGCAGGUAAAAUGAAUACAACAUGUAAUUAUGGUUAUCAUAAAGCUAGGCUACUGCACUAUAUAUGGACUUUGAUUUUUUUCCCGUACAGGAAAGACAGCCGAAACAAAUGAGGGAGCGUACGAUUUUAAUAUAGAGUUACUGAAAUCACAUGUUGAUGGAAAUGGCCAUGGAGUGGUUAGUGCUUUACUAUAGUUUCUCUGUAAAAAUUAAAAUUAUCUAAUUCAAUUCUGUUUUCAUACAGUACCUGCCUAGAUAUCUGAAUGCAUUAUAUAGGAGGUGGAGCAAAGGGACAGUGGUGAAGUUGGUCAUGAAGUCCAAACAUUAUCAGCUGGCAAUUCUAAGGAGAAAGAAAACGUGCAGGCUAGGACUUGGAUGGAAUGAGUUCACUCGGAAGAAUAAGCUUCAUGUUGGACAGCGGUUAUCGUUCACUUUUGUUGGGAAUGCAACUUUCAAAGUAAAUGCUUCUACUUAGUAGUCGUGACAUAGUGUGUUGUCAGUGCUAUUACCUUUUGGUCAUUGUAACCCAAAGACAUAUUUGGUCAUUACCACUAAGUUUAGGUGAUUGUAAGAAAUUGGGCACUCUGCAAUUGUCUAGCAGUACCACAAAGUAAACAUUUUAUCAGCUACUAAUGUCAAUUUAUGAAAUAUUGGGAAAUGAAGCCAUCUGCCAAUUAUGCAAUGUUGGAUUUUCAUUAUUUCACUGAGCAUCCUGAUUCAGAUUAUACGAUUAAAAGACAUAAUAUUUGCCAGGUUAUACUUAUUAUUACAUAACAUAGUGUGCAGAUGAUUUCUUUCAAUAUGUUAUACUUAUUAUUAAAUAACAUAGUGUGAGUAGUCUCAUUGACAGGUUAAUCUAUGGUACUAUUGUCAAAACACCUGGAAAGCAAAAAAAGAGAUGCAUUUCAAAUCUGAGCAGAGUUCAACUUCUCUUACAAAUCUUGAAACUGAAAUGUACAGAAUGCGGGAUAUAGUUGAAAAGGAAUGACAUCAGUAAAGCAAACAAAUAAUAUCAGUAAUGCACCAAGGCAUAACAAAUGAACAUUGUGUCAUUGACAGGUUAGUUUGUUGUUCCAAAAACAAAAUUUCCAAAAGCAAAGAACAUACAGUCUAUCAAUAUCUGAACAAAAUUUAACUUCUCUCAAAUACCUUUGCAACUGACAGAAGAGAGUGGAGGAAAUAGUUAAUAAAUGGAUACAUGAAAUUCUACUACCUAGGCAAAGCAUAGAACACCUCUUUGUAGACAACAUUUUGUGUGAGGUUUGUUGGUAGACCACGAUCAUCAUCAAUGAAUACCUUCAAACCACUUGGAGAUGUAACCCUGCUUACCGCAACAUAGAACUGGCCGUGUGUAAAAACAGCUUUCGGAAGAAACAAACCAACCUUUUCUAGAGACUGACCCUGAGACUUAUUUAUAGUCAUGGCGUAGCAAAUCUGAAUUGGCAUUUGUUUUCUAACUAACUUAAAAGGCAGAUCUGAGUCACUUGGAGAUAAUUCCAUGCGUGGAAUGAAAUGUUUGGUGCCAGCAAAAGAACCACAAAUAACCUCACACUCAACGCAGAAUUUCAAACACUUGGUAACAAUCAUUCUAGUGCCGUUGCAUAGUCCAAGUGUUUGAUUCAAAUUCCUCAUCAACAUUACAACUGUACCAACUUUAAGCUUCAAAUCAUGGCUAGGCAUACCUGGUACUUGUAGAGAAUUAAGAUACUCGAUAGGAAAAGCAGACUGUAGAUCAGCAUCUGUACCUCCAAAAUCCUCAGCACUAUCAACACUAUAAUAAUUCACUGCAUCACCAGGAAUCAUUUCUACAAUUAGAGAGUUGAGAUGACCCACAGUUUGAUUAGUAGGAGUCAGAAUAGCCCUCUCACUCAAAUAUUUGGGAUUUCUUGCAUUCUGGAUAAAAUCUGGAUAUAUACUGCGAAUCAUGUUCUCAACAGAAUUUUCAUUAUCCAAGUCACAAAACUGUUCUGGAACUACUAUGUCAUCCUCAAGAUAAUUACCGCCAUCUUGAGUAGGAUGCAAAGUUCCAUCUCCAACAGCAAGAACCCAUUUGGCAAAUUCAUUCAACUCAUCAAUUUCACGCUGAGAUGAACCUUUGUUAAGCCUCAUGUUCUUCUCCAAAACAUAAACUUUACAAAUAUUCCACAAACGGGAACGUGUUAUACAUGCUUCAAGAAUUUCUCCCCUUUCUCCGUGAGGUAUUACAGGAAGGAUUUGUCUAAAAUCUCCUCCAAGCAGUACAGUAAUACCUCCAAAUGGUAAAGAAGCACGUGCCUGAUCAACAGUCUUCAUAAUGUCUCUAAGAGAGCGGUCUAGACAUUCAAAUGCAAAUCUGUGUUGCAUUGGCGCUUCAUCCCAGAUUAUCAACUUUGUAUGUCUGAUAAGUUCAGCAAUAUCAGAAUUAUUGCCUAUAGCACAAAGUGAAAACUCAUCAAGCACUAUAGGUAUCUUAAAGCGGGAAUGGGCGGUCCUUCCUCCGGGCAUAAGGGUUGCAGCAAUCCCCGAGGACGCAACUGGUAAAACUAUAUCACCUUGAGAUCGUAGCUUUGAUAUUAAAGUUCUCCAUAGAAAAGUCUUGCCACAGCCACCGCUACCAUAAACAAAAAAAAGUCCGCCUUCAUUCUUGUCUAUAGAUUCUAGAAUGGCAUUGUACACUGUCUUCUGCUCUGGGUUCAUGGUCGACAGCAACUUCUUAUUCUCUAGUUCCAUCUCAGUAAUAUUGUAAUUAGUUUCUUCCAAAAUCAAGUUGUUUGUCCCAUGAUUCAGAUACAUUUCAGGAGGUUGUGGCAGCUGCUGAAAAUUCUUUAAAGAUUUCCCAAUUGAUCUAAGCAAAUCAUCAAUUUCUGCAAUCACAUAGUAUCAAAAUUAUUAUUUUUUUCAUCGGCAGGAAUGAUAAUAAAACUAUCAUAAAAAACAAAAUGAAUAGGAUUAAGCUGAAUUCAAAUUAAUUUUACCUGCCAGAGCAUAAAAUUGUAGCUGCUUAUCAUCCAGCAUUAGGCUUUCAUCUUUAUUUAUGCGUCGCCUCUUUAAAAUAAUAUCAUCAACCAUUUGCUUCCAGUGAGCAUUCCACAAAUUAUACAAAUCUGUUACCUUGCAAUUCACUAUUAUGUGAACAAAAAGUUGACGAAUCUGAGGAGGCAAGCCACCAGAGGAGCAUUGAUCAAGAACUUCAUGCCAUUCCUUGUCGUCAUCCAGCAAACCAUACUCUUUGCAAGCAUCACGAAAGGACUCAUAGCAUAUUCCAUUGACAGUUCUGAGUUUCUCAAAGGAAGUUGGGCCGCGCACCUUGGUUAGCAAUAAUCUCAAAAACCAUACUUCGCCGCUGCUGUGAUGAGUAUAAGAUAGUCGUCCUAUCUGAUAUCCUCUUUUUCUUCGAUUCCAUUUCCUUUCAACAUCAUUCCAUACAUAAUGCUUUGGGAUCUCCUGAUAGGUAUAUUGCUGAGCUGUAGCAUCAGUAUUACAUAAAAGGAAGAACGCUUCAAGUUUACUAAGUCUGUCCUUUUCCCUUUCAGCUACCUUAUCCAAAGGCUGGUUUGAGUGAAAUGUGCAGUUCUUUUGUCCUGGUAGAUGGAAUGGUAACCUUUCAACAGAUAUUGUACGGUGGUGUAUAGGAAAACCAAAAAUCCUAUAAGCCGAUUCUGCUCCACAUAUGUACCUACCAUCAAAGUAGGCAUCAAUUUCAUCGAUAGGCUCAUCACCGUUAGAGUUGGCUGUUCUCUUCUUCCUCCCAGUAACAUGUAUCGUGGCAGUAUCAUGACCCUUUAAACAGUAUUUGAACAAAUACUUGAGACUGCGAGCGUGACAACAUAUCUCAAUGUUCAUGUGACAUUGGUAUUUGACCAAUAAGUCCCGAUUAUAAGGAACUACCCACUGAUUAUCCAAAUCAGCAUUCCUAACAUGGACUGUUAUGUUCUGUCUACGCCGUUUGUACAUUGGAAAUCCGCUUUCAUCAAACAUUGUGCGCGGACAGUACCUAUAACAAAUAAUGGUUUAUUAAACAACUUAGACUGAUAAGCUAGGUUUAGAAGACUUUAAAGGCAGCAAGCACUCACUUUUUCGGAAAAUGACGUAUGCACUUUAGACCUUUCAUGCAGGGAGAUUUCGUAUUCUGGAGUCCACACGGUCCAUGUAUCAUAAAAGCCUUCACCGCAGCAUAUCCCACAGGGUCUUUUUUAGGAUCGGGUAUUUCAGCAGAGACAAACUUGUCUACAUUAUUCUUUAGAUAAAUCUUUGAAGCGCUGUCAAGCCAAAUGAGCAUGUGAACAUGGGGGAGGCCACGCUUUUGAAACUCCACAACAUACAUCACUGUUUGUCCACAAAAAAAAUAAAAUAUUUCAGUUUAAGAACUAAGGUAUAUACAUUUAAUUAUGAUAGACAAAGAGAAGAAUACCUCCAACACAAACACCAAAAUGAGAUUUUUUCUUAAUGUCAUUUGUUAGCUGCUCCAGUUUCAAACGGAAGACUCGAGAGAUAAUAUCAGGGCAAUUCUCUGGACUGCAACCAGGAAGAAAAACCAUCAUUUUUUGAAUUUCAUCCCAUAAUGCAUUAGUUGUCAUGGUUAGGAAAAUAUCCGGAUGGCCUACUUCACGACACACUGCUAGUGCGUCCUGAAAAUUUUGCUGCAUAUAGCGUUUAGAACCAACAAAUCCAGCUGGCAAGAUCACGCCUUUCCCAACAUUAGAAGCACUAUAGUCUCCAGUACGUACUGAGUCACAUAUAUGGCUAUACAAUUCAUUCCUCAGAAUUGUCUGAUUCUUCCGAAACCACCAUAAGCGUGUUUGCUCAAUAGACGAAAAAGCGUCAACAACAUAUUGCUGGAAUAACCUCCCACCUAAUCUAGGUGUCAGAGCUGCAUAAUAUUUGUACAACAAUAUGAUUACAGUGAACAAAAUUGCUACACACCAAAAAAUAUUAAGACAGAUUCAAGGUAGAAACUUACAAUGCUUUUGCCUGAUUUGAAACUGGUAUGCGUAAUAAUCUUUCAUUGAAAUGUAGUCGCGCUCUUUGAGGUUUUCCAAAUCAGCACUGGUGAAUGGAAUUCUAUUAUGGUAUCCGUCCUCUCCAUUGGGAAAAAGAAGGGGAUAUUGAAGCGCCAUGAACUUUGGAUGAAUGUAAGACACACGUUGGAGCUUUCCAAACUUGGGCUCUAUAAUAAUGUCACGAUCAGGAGUUGUGUUUGAGGUGGAACCAACCAUUAUGCCAGCUACUUCAUCACUGGCAGAUAUAUGAUUCUCUCUUCCAUUCUGUGCGCGACAGAUUUUCAGCUCAACUUUCAAAUCAAGUAUAUCAUUGUUUUCCCAACGAUCACGUGCUGUGCGGAAUUUUUUCACCAAUUCAUUGGUGUCAUCUAACAUCUGGAUUAAGCAUUCAACAACUUGGACAUCAAUAGGUUGUUCAUCAGAAACUUUAACCCACCGUAAACGAUUAUUAACCUCAUUUGCAGUAUCAUAAAUGUAAAGCUGGCAGAAUUUUGGAGUGUCACCAUCAUCAGGGAUUAAGGAGCCAAAAACAUGGUGAUUCUGACCGUUUAAGCGAUAAAUAUAAGGACCCCGGCCUCGGUUUAUUGAAUGGUCCACAUUACCGCCAGCAGAUGUGAAUGCAAACAUGGAGUUGUACAUUCGUAUACUUCUUUUGAAAUGUGAACCUCUAGCUACAUCAUUAUAAAGAGAUUGCAAGCAAGAUGGUGUUGGUGGUGGCUCAGGUAGACUGACAUCACCUUUUCUGCAGCAUAUAGAAAACAGAGGAGGGCCUUUGGUAACAUUUUUGUUCGAACGUUCUUCAUGCCACAUUUGCGCUUUGCAAUGUGUGCAUACUCUGGUUGGACCACCAAGGCUGGCGUAUUCCUCAGGAACAUAGCAGUUUUUACCACGUCGAUUCCUCUUCGGUGGCUGAUCAUGCAUUGUGCUCUGAUUAACUGUGAAAUAAUGGAAAUAUUAUGGCAAAGUACAUCUUCUGAUAAAAGGUUCAGAACUUUAAAAAGACAUUGAACAAACCUGGUGUUGUUUGUUCCAUAAUAUCCUCAUCAGAGCUGUCGUCAUUGGUGUCGUAGGAAUCCUCCACCUCAAAUAGAUCCUCAUCCGUAACUGUUGCAUUUUUAAGCCGAGUUUCCUCUGCAGAAAUUAAAAAAUUAAGACAGAAUAUCUCUGAAAAACAGCAUAUUCAUUUCACAAUCAUAUUUUGCAAACACAAACUAUUUGUCUGCAUACCACAAAUCUCAUCAUAUACAACACUGUUGCUGUUGGUGUGGUUCUGACUAAAUUCCUGUUGAAAGAGGUUACGGCUCCAAGCAUUUAAAGGUACAUCCUCCCAUUUCUUUUGUUUAGCCUUGCCCUUCGGUUUUUGUUGCUGCUGCGCAUUUUUUUGAUUUCGAGACACGUUUGUUAUAUCUCUAAAUGGAGUCCUAGGUAAUUCAGUUACACUCUGAAAAGUGGAUGGACAUGAACCACUUUCAACUGGUUUAGCUGCAUAAUACGACAACAAACGGUAGAAAAAUCAACUUCACUAAAGCUACUGUUUCAUAUCAGAGUGUAAAGUGUAUUGCAAGAUUAUUACAUGUUUGUUGGGUAUGAGAUGCAUUGCAAUAUGAUGCAUAGCUGGUGAACCUAUCUGUAACUGGAGUUCUAAUUAAUUGAUCAGUGCUGUGAAAAGUGGAUUGACGUGAACCAGUUGGAACUGGUUUACCUGCAUCAGAUUAAAACAACCAUACAAAAUACAAAAUUCAUUCAAGGCACUGAAAUUAACAUAUUGCAAAACCAACUUAUAUUCCAACACAGACUUAUAUACCAACAAAGAGUUUAGAUUAUGAUAACCUGCCAAUCUUAAUUUGCAAGUGAAAGUUGACAUUUGACAAAAUGGUUUGAACAGCUUUUAAUUCGUAUCAUAAAUUAGUUAACAUCAACGGAAAUUAAUUACACAUAUUAUGUCACAACUGUAAUAUUUUUCAUUUGUAUUCAGAACAGCAUAAAAUGUACUAACAACUAAUUAAGGAAAAUGUCUUGUCUUUUAGACAAACAUAUGUUUGUCUGGAUACAUAAUGUACAGUACAGGGAACACAAUACAUGUACGGUUCACCGAUGAGUUUGUCUGUGCUGUUCCAGUCGUGAUGCCUGAAACAUUCUCUUGGUUUGGCUUCUUCGUAGUUUUGCGUCUCUUCAGAGACUUAUGACCUAAAUUAAGCAUCAAACAACAACAUUAGACAAUAAAAAGCAUCCAAAAAUAAAUCGAAGUUAAAGGCAGAUAAUUGAUAUUGGAUAUGAUGUACCAUCUGUCAUGUCUUCAGGCGUGAAUAAACGCCGUGAAUCAUCAUCCUGAAGUCAUGUGAUUGAAAUUAGUGAAUGCUAUUAAAUUAAUAGAAACAGGACUAUGGUAGACAGCUCUGACCUUGUUGGUCAUUGUUCUCUUCUGAUAAAAAGAGUAGCAGAGAGAAACAGAUAGAUGUCCGAGAUUGAUCGAGAAAGAUGUUGCCUUGGUGGAGAAAGAGGAUGGCGGCAAAUAUUUCCUCUACACACUGAUAGAAGAGAGUGAUCAUCUUUGAUAUGGGAAAGCUGCAGAGGAAGCCACUUUCAAACGCAAAACUUGUCUUGUAAGCUGUAGAAGUUUCAUUGUCUGAAUCUUUUAGAAAUUAAUAUUUAAGUGGUAAUUAAAAUGUGCACGUGAGGCGGGCCAUGCUGUAAUGGAGGUGGCAGUUAACUGUACACGCACGUAAGCAAGCAGUGGCAAUUUUGCAAUUAUAAAGAAAAGCCAGGUCGAAGGUGGAAGUAUAAGCAGUAAGAAAGGGGACUGUAGCAAACACGCUUCAGGAACUAUAAUAUAGAUAUAGAUAGAUAGAUAGAUAGAUAGAUAGAUAGACUUGCAUAUAAGAACACUGCAGUUUACUACAAAUUUGGAAAUUAAAAUAAAAGCUUGAUAUAUACUUCUAAAGCAUACCCUGUUUUAAGGGUUCUUAGAGGGAGGGCAUUCAUAUUACAAUUACAAUGUCUAUACAGGUAGUAUCAUUUACUUCUUUUUCUUGUCAUCAAGUUUAAUCAACUGGACUGGAGC
rnacentral:lncRNA from 1 species